AAAAAAAAAAGACGCGGCGGACGACCAUUCAAUGGAUUGAGAGAGCUCCGUGACGUGAGAGGACUAUAAACCGACGGUCAGUUCUUUCUACUCGAACACUUCCUUCAUCAAUGUCCUGUUGGCCUCUUCACCUCUCUCUGCCAUGAUGUCCAUAGAAGCUGUUGAACCCAGUUCUGUUCCAGGUCAGACAUGAUAUCCCAAACCUCCUCCUCCUCCCAGCAGUGCAGAGCUCCGGGGCUUCUUACAGUAAGCAAGAAGUCGCAGCAGCGUGCUUGGCGGCCAUGAUGAGUCCAACAUGGAGGUGUUUUUCACACUGUGUGGGCGUCCUCAGAGGAGACGGAGCUCCUCGCUGGCUGCCGUCCACACAGUAAGUGCUCUUCAUACAAUCAAACGCGCUGCAUCUCGCUGCUCUCUAAUUCAGCCGGUGCACGUUCAAGUGUUUCAUCAGAUUCAUGCUGCGUUUCAUCAGUUCGGCCUUUUAAGAAAUCUCGCUGUGCACAUUAUCAGCAUCUGUUCUAUAUAAUGAGACCUUUGACCUGUUUGGA